CGGGUAGAGUAAUGCGUGACCAACCUGCCCCAUGCUCCAGAAUAGCUCUUGGAAACGGGUGGUAAUGCUGGAUGCUCCAACUUGACGCAUGUCUUGUUGGGAAAGUGUUUAGUGGCAUGGGAUGGGGUCGCGUCCUAUCAGCUUGUAGGCGGGGUAAUGGCCCACCUAGGCUUCGACGGGUAGCCGGCCUGAGAGGGCGGACGGCCACAUUGGGACUGAGAUACGGCCCAGACUCCUACGGGGGCAGCAGCU
rnacentral:rRNA from 1 species